CAGCUAUGGAAGAUGGAUUUUUUUUCAUGAUCCUUUGACUCUCAAGUUCAUCUUUAAAUGAACUCUUUUUUUUGUUUUGUUUUUGAGGAGAUAACUAACCCUAGCUGUCUCCAGUCUGACAAAGGUUAUUUGAAUGGACUUAAUCUCCCAGUAGUUGGGAGAUGUUUUAAAAACACAUGCUGUGUUUGAAUUGUGGCUGAGAGGUUUUCUUGGCAAUGUGAGGAG
rnacentral:lncRNA from 1 species